rnacentral:lncRNA from 1 species
AUUUUGCUGGAGUUAACAGAUCAGCCAGAUCUCCAACUCCCUCUGUUCUUCCUGUUUCUAGUGUAUGGUCACUGCGUUGGGAAAUUUGGCUUGGUAACUCUCGUUGUGCUCAAUUCACACCUUCAUACCCCCAUGUACUUUUUCCUCUUUAACUUGUCCUUCAUAGAUCUCUGUUAUUCUUCUGUGUUUACACCCCAAAUGCUGAUGAACUUCAUAACACAGAAGGAUAUUAUCUCCCACAUGGGGUGCAUGUCCCAGCUUUUCUUUUUUCUUUAUUUUUUUUUGGUAUUUCUGAAUGCUAUGUGCUCACCUCAAUGGCCUAUGAUCAGCAUGUCACCAUGAUCACCAUGUAGCCAUCUGUAACCCACUUUUGUAUAAUAUUGCCAUGUCCCCCAAAGUGUACUCUCACCUUAUGCUUGGUUUAUACUUGCUAGCCUUUUCUAGUGCCAUGGCCCACACUGGAUGCAUGCUGAGACUGACCUUCUGUGAUGCAAACACCAUCCAUCCCUAUUUGUGUGACAUCCUCCCUCUGCUCCAGCUCUCUUGCACCGGCACCUACAUCAAUGAGCUGGUGGUUUCCAUUGCAGCAGUCAUUAUUUUCCACUGUCACCAUAUUUAUCUCUUGUGGUUGCAGCUCCUACAUCAUCCUCCACAUCAACUCCAAGGAGGGCAGGUCCAAAGCCUUGAACACCUGCAGUUCCAACCUAAUUGCUGUUUCUCUUAGUUUGGAUCGUGUGCAUUUAUGUGUCUCAAACCAUCUUCUGCUGGGUCCAUGGAUGAGGGAAAGAUUUCUUCUGUCUUUUACACCAAUACAGCUCCCUUGAUGAACCCCUUAAUCUACAGUUUGAUGAAUAAAAUGUUCAACUUUCUCUGAGAAAAA